GAUAGGUCCAUGUCGCUACUGUGAUUGGACACUGACGCUGAGUCAACUAGCCUUGUUCGAGCGGUUCUCCACGAGAAGAACCGGGGCGUCUCAAGCCACGAGGGGGGAGGCUUGAGACGCCCGCA
rfam:Streptomyces violaceusniger Tu 4113, complete genome.